GUGAACGCUGGCGGUAGGCCUAACACAUGCAAGUCGAACGGCAGCACAGUAAGAGCUUGCUCUUACGGGUGGCGAGUGGCGGACGGGUGAGGAAUACAUCGGAAUCUACUUUUUCGUGGGGGAUAACGUAGGGAAACUUACGCUAAUACCGCAUACGACCUACGGGUGAAAGCAGGGGAUCUUCGGACCUUGCGCGAUUGAAUGAGCCGAUGUCGGAUUAGCUAGUUGGCGGGGUAAAGGCCCACCAAGGCGACGAUCCGUAGCUGGUCUGAGAGGAUGAUCAGCCACACUGGAACUGAGACACAGUCCAGACUCCUACGGGAGGCAGCAGUGGGGAAUAUUGGACAAAGGGCGCAAGCCUGAUCCAGCCAUACCGCGUGGGUGAAGAAGGCCUUCGGGUUGUAAAGCCCUUUUGUUGGGAAAGAAAAGCAGCAGGUUAAUACCCCGCUGUUCUGACGGUACCCAAAGAAUAAGCACCGGCUAACUUCGUG
rnacentral:rRNA from 1 species